rnacentral:rRNA from 1 species
AGAGUUUGAUUCUGGCUCAGAUUGAACGCUGGCGGCGUGCUUAACACAUGCAAGUCGAACGUGAAAGUCCUUCGGGACGAGUAAAGUGGCGCACGGGUGAGUAACGCGUGGAUAAUCUACCCUUAAGAUGGGGAUAACGGCUGGAAACGGUCGCUAAUACCGAAUACGCUCCCGAUUUUAUCGUUGGGGGGAAAGAUGGCCUCUGCUUGCAAGCUAUCGCUUAAGGAUGAGUCCGCGUCCCAUUAGCUAGUUGGCGGGGUAACGGCCCACCAAGGCAACGAUGGGUAGCCGGUCUGAGAGGAUGACCGGCCACACUGGAACUGGAACACGGUCCAGACUCCUACGGGAGGCAGCAGUGGGGAAUAUUGCGCAAUGGGCGAAAGCCUGACGCAGCGACGCCGCGUGAGGGAUGAAGGUUCUCGGAUCGUAAACCUCUGUCAGGGGGGAAGAAACCCCCUCGUGUGAAUAAUGCGAGGGCUUGACGGUACCCCCAAAGGAAGCACCGGCUAACUCCGUGCCAGCAGCCGCGGUAAUACGGAGGGUGCAAGCGUUAAUCGGAAUCACUGGGCGUAAAGCGCACGUAGGCGGCUUGGUAAGUCAGGGGUGAAAUCCCACAGCCCAACUGUGGAACUGCCUUUGAUACUGCCAGGCUUGAGUACCGGAGAGGGUGGCGGAAUUCCAGGUGUAGGAGUGAAAUCCGUAGAUAUCUGGAGGAACACCGGUGGCGAAGGCGGCCACCUGGACGGUAACUGACGCUGAGGUGCGAAAGCGUGGGUAGCAAACAGGAUUAGAUACCCUGGUAGUCCACGCUGUAAACGAUGAUUACUAGGU